rnacentral:rRNA from 1 species
UACAGAGGAUGCAAGCGUUAUCCGGAAUGAUUGGGCGUAAAGCGUCUGUAGGUGGCUUUUUAAGUCCGCCGUCAAAUCCCAGGGCUCAACUCUGGACAGGCGGUGGAAACUACCAAGCUGGAGUACGGUAGGGGCAGAGGGAAUUUCCGGUGGAGCGGUGAAAUGCGUAGAGAUUGGAAAGAACACCGAUGGUGAAGGCACUUUACUGGGCUAUUACUAACACUCAGAGACGAAAGCUAGGGUAGCAAAUGGG